GUGAAUGCUAUCAUGAGUGGGACGAGGGAGUUCUGCUCUUACAGUGCCAGCCGAGGUCCGUGGCAACAGAGAAGCCAACACAACUGCGUUCUUGGAACCUGCUUUGGAAGUUUCCAAGUUGGACGGUGAGCCCAAGAAAAACAAAACCAGAGGAAGGGGUGAGAGAAAAAAAAGCAAAUGGGGAACUGAAAAAUUAUUGAAGGGCUGGUGAGGUGACUCAGUGGAAAAAGGAGCUUGCUGUCAAGUCUGAAGACCAGAGUUCAAUUCCCAGGACCCACCUGGUGGAAGUUGUCUUCAAACUGCCCCAUGAAUAUUCAAACACAAGCAUGUAUAUUCAUACAAAAUAAAUAAAUAUAAUUUAAAAAAAUAAACGGCUGAAAAG
rnacentral:lncRNA from 1 species